CCAUGUCGAGGCCCAAGCACGCGAAAUCCCAGCACAUCAUUUCGGAGGAGGACCAGGGCGAGCAGCAGCCGCAGCAGCCGACCCCCCCGGAGUUUGUAGAUGUGGCCCCCGCGGUGUCGGCGUUCUUUAGCAUCUCUGAGUUCUUGGAACGUAAGAAAAAUUGCACUAAAAAUCCACCCGUCUUCAUCAUGAAUGAUGGCGAGGGUCCAGUGCCUUCAGAAGACAUCUCUGAAGCUGUACUGAGCCACCAGCCACCCAGUCCAAGCAGUGAGGAUGGCCACAGGGAGAAUGGGAGCAGCUCAGGGGACAUGAAGGAGAAGCUGGCCGUAUCUAAAGACAGAGACGGCCCUGUCACCCACCCCCGAGUAGAUAAGAUAUUUACCCAAAGGCAAAGUGGCCAACACUAACGUGUCCUUGCAGGCACUAUGGGGCACCAAGGUGGCUGUGAAUCGGCGGAGCGCAGAUGCCCUGCCUGCCCCUGUGCCUGGCGCCAACAGCAUCCUCGAGCCGAUACUGUGUCUGUAGCAGCAGAAGCAGCUACAGCAGACCCAGCUCACCAAGCAGAUCCGCAUCCCGGUGAACACAUUAGCCUCUCGCGCCUGCACUCCAGCGGGGCGGGGCCGACACCCUGAAGACCUUGGGCAGCCACAUGUCCCAGCAGCUUUCUGCAGCUGUGGUUUUGCUCAGCCAGAAAGCUGGAAGCCAAGGUCUGUCUCUGGACGCCUUGAAACAAGCCAAGCUACCUCACGCCGGCAUCCCUUCUGCCACCAGCUCCCUGUCCCCAGGGCUGACGCCCUUUGUUCCAAAGCCGGAUGGGACCCGGCUGCUCCCAAACGUCAUGUUCUGCCUCCCCAGUGCUUUACAUCCUCAGGCCCCGGGCUCGCUGCUCUUCCAGAGCCCUUUCUCCACUGUGGCGCUAGACCCAACCAAGGGAAGGGAAGGGAAGCCACCGGACAUCUCCGUGGUGGAUGUCAAAUCGAAAGAUGAUGCCGUCCUCUACAAGCACAAGUGUAAGUGCUGUAGCAAGGUUUUCGGGACUGAUAGCUCCUAGCAGAUCCACUUCCGCUCCCACACUGGAGAGAGACCCUUCGUGUGCUCUGUCUGUGGUCAUCGUUUCACCACCAAGAACGACCUCAAGGUGCACUUUUGCUGACAUCCCUAGGUGAAGGCAAACCCCCAGCUGUUGGCCGAGCUCCAGGACAAAGUGGCCACAGGCAAUGGCAUCCCCUAUGCACUCUCUGUACCCCUCCCUGUAGAUGAAUCAAGUCUCUCUCUAGACAGCAAACCUGUCCUUGUAACCCCCUUGGUAAAGCUACCUGAGAAUCCUUCUUUGGUGACUAACCCCAAGGACAUCAAGGGUGGCCCCCGGCCAAGCAACUUGCAGCCUGGGCCUUCUCCAGAAAGUGAGGGUGGACCUAUACAUCCUGGGGUGGGACCAAACAUAAUUCCCAAAGGACUGGUGGCUUCCAAGGGAAUGGGACCACCGACCCCAACGAAUGUCUCAUUUGCGACCAAGUCUUAAGCUGCCAGAGCUCCCUCAAGAUGCAUUACUGCAUCCACAAAGGGGAGAGAUCAUACCAGUGUGAGAUCUGUGGCCAAGUCAUUUCUACCAAAGGUAACCUGAAGACACACCUUGGGGUUCACUGAACCAACACGUCCAUUAAGACGCAGCAUUCUUGCCCCAUCUGCCAGAAGAAGUUCGCCAAUGCCGUGAUGCUGCAGUAGCAGAUUCACCUACUCCAAGAUGGAUGGCUCCCAAUCAGGUAUCAGUGCAGAUGUGGAAAAACCAUGUGCUACUGACAGCAUUCCCAAAACCAGUUUCCUCACUUCCUGGAAGAAAACAAGAUUGCAGUCAGCUAA
rnacentral:lncRNA from 1 species